rnacentral:rRNA from 1 species
GUGAGGAAUAUUGGGCAAUGCCCGCAAGGGUGACCCAGCAACGCCGCGUGGAGGAUGAAUGUCGUAAGAUUGUAAACUCCUGUUAGAGGGGAAGAAUAGUACCGGUUGGACCGGUAUAUGACUGUACCCUCAGAGAAAGCCCCGGCUAACUACGUGCCAGCAGCCGCGGUAAUACGUAGGGGGCAAGCGUUGUCCGGAUUUACUGGGUGUAAAGGGUGCUCAGGCGGAUUUGUAAGUCAGAGGUGAAAUCUUACAGCUUAACUGUGAAACUGCCUUUGAUACUGCAAGCCUAGAGUAUGGAAGAGAGUGAUGGAAUAUCUGGUGUAGCAGUGAAAUGCGUAGAUAUCAGAUAGAACACCAAUGGCGAAGGCAGUCACUUGGUCCAUUACUGACGCUAAAGCACGAAAGCGUGGGUAGCAAAC